rnacentral:rRNA from 1 species
AACCGGAUUAGAUACCCUGUUAGUCCACGCCGUAAACGAUGAGUGCUAAGUGUUGGAGGGUUUCCGCCCUUCAGUGCUGCAGCAAACGCAUUAAGCACUCCGCCUGGGGAGUACGACCGCAAGGUUGAAACUCAAAGGAAUUGACGGGGGCCCGCACAAGCGGUGGAGCAUGUGGUUUAAUUCGAAGCAACGCGAAGAACCUUACCAGGUCUUGACAUCCUUUGACCACUCUAGAGAUAGAGCUUCCCCUUCGGGGGCAAAGUGACAGGUGGUGCAUGGUUGUCGUCAGCUCGUGUCGUGAGAUGUUGGGUUAAGUCCCGCAACGAGCGCAACCCUUAUUGUUAGUUGCCAUCAUUUAGUUGGGCACUCUAGCGAGACUGCCGGUGACAAACCGGAGGAAGGUGGGGAUGACGUCAAAUCAUCAUGCCCCUUAUGACCUGGGCUACACACGUGCUACAAUGGGAAGUACAACGAGUUGCGAAGUCGCGAGGCUAAGCUAAUCUCUUAAAGCUUCUCUCA